GAACGCUGGCGGCGUGCCUAAUACAUGCAAGUCGACCGCACAGCGAAAGGUGCUUGCACCUUUCAAGUGAGUGGCGAACGGGUGAGUAACACGUGGAUAACCUACCUCAAGGUUGGGGAUAACAUUUGGAAACAGAUGCUAAUACCGAAUAAAACUUCGUAUCGCAUGAUACAAGGUUAAAAGGCGCUACGGCGUCACCUAGAGAUGGAUCCGCGGUGCAUUAGUUAGUUGGUGGGGUAAAGGCCUACCAAGACAGUGAUGCAUAGCCGAGUUGAGAGACUGAUCGGCCACAUUGGGACUGAGACACGGCCCAAACUCCUACGGGAGGCUGCAGUAGGGAAUCUUCCACAAUGGGCGAAAGCCUGAUGGAGCAACGCCGCGUGUGUGAUGAAGGCUUUCGGGUCGUAAAGCACUGUUGUAUGGGAAGAACAGCUAGAGUAGGGAAUGACUUUAGUUUGACGGUACCAUACCAGAAAGGGACGGCUAAAUACGUGCCAGCAGCCGCGGUAAUACGUAUGUCCCGAGCGUUAUCCGGAUUUAUUGGGCGUAAAGCGAGCGCAGACGGUUGAUUAAGUCUGAUGUGAAAGCCCGGAGCUCAACUCCGGAAAGGCAUUGGAAACUGGUCAACUUGAGUGCAGUAGAGGUAAGUGGAACUCCAUGUGUAGCGGUGGAAUGCGUAGAUAUAUGGAAGAACACCAGCGGCGAAGGCGGCUUACUGGACUGUAACUGACGUUGAGGCUCGAAAGUGUGGGUAGC
rnacentral:rRNA from 1 species